AGGCAGUUGACUUCUGAGGCACCCACGUGAAAGCAGGGUGUGUGAUUGUUCUUGGGAAACAGCUCCUUAGGCUCCUGGGAUCCUGUCCUGCAACUGUGUCCAGGUCCUGUGUCGCUUUACCGGCUCAAAUGUGCAUCGGUGGUCUCUGCUACUGCCUGUUUCCUCGGUAGAAGGAAAGCCUGGGGCAGUGUUGGAGACAGAAUAAGGACUUCAGUACAUACACGAGUGUGUGGCUGUGAAGAUGUUUCCUCAAGCACCUGUCCAGCUGCCUUCCUUUAGGGGACUUAACUAUUGGUGGACUGUCUCGGUUUCUGGAAAGUACUUCUAAGUGGCCAUCAUCACUGUCACAGUCCUGUUGAGACAUCCAUAGCUGAGAGUCAGGAAAGCUAAACUCACACAAGCACUUUACUACACCAGUUCUUGGAUGAGCAUGAGGUUAAUAAAAGCUGGAAUGUUCUGUGAGGACAACCCACUGCCACAUCGCACCCUUGAUAGAGGCCACAAGGGUAAAUGUCCUUAACCUGUAAUGAUGAUGAUACCCAGAGGGAAAAAAAGAAGGGUUUCCAAGCCAGGACUGCUUACGCAAUUCCGCAGGGCAGGAGUCCCAGUGGUAACUCCUGGGCUAUCAGAAGAACCUCACUCACAUUUGCCUCUCAUGGAAGAAUCUUGCAAAAAAAAAGUUCUUGAAAAUGUUAUUGGGACUGUCUCCUGAGCUCAGGCUCUGAAUAGAAACUUGUCUCUCCACCGUCAAUUCAGCUCGUUCUUACAGUUUAAUAAUAAAGGGAGCUGCCAUGGUGAGUUUACAUGCUAGGCUCCAAUAGUACAACUUCACCAAUGGCCUCAGCUCCCGAGCCUGCGGGACUAGAACACAAGAGUGUGCUCUCCUGGGUGGUAAGUGGGCAGCAGAGUCUUUAGCAUGCUUUGGUAUUCCGCCUCCACUUGAGAAUUUCCCACCAUUUUCUACCAAGCUGCUUCAGAGAAACCUUUCAGCAUUUGCUAGGCAUGCCUGAGGCUGGUCCCAGAGCUUGGAGGACCUGCAGAGGGACUCUAAUCCUUGUGCUGACUCAAGUCAGGAGGAAGUAAGUGCCUAGCAGGGGUGAACACCUCUCCCCCAUUCACUCCCAGCUUUUCAAGGGUGGGCAGUGGGGAAGUCGGGAAUGUGGACCACAUGCCAUUAUGCAACUGGUGUUCAGUUUUAAUGCAUAUUUAAACAGAAUAAGAAAUACCUACCUUAAAGUUGAAAAGGGAAGAAUAUUUCUAACAACAUUUUGCAGUGGAUAUGAAUAACUCAAUUUGUUAAGUUAUGAAUCCUUUAAAAAAAAUUGAGUUGGUCAGCCCAUUGAUCGUGUGUAAAGCUAGUUCAGUUAGAGUUUCCCUCUCUAGGAACCGCCUUGUGUGUGCACAGCCCUGAGACCAGACCAGACCAGACCCAGCAAAUUCUCUCUGGAGCUUUUUCUCUGGCUUACUUCCUUCACUGGAAGGGAAGUAGUGAGAUAUGGGCUUUGCGGGUACAAGCAGACCUUAGCCAUGGCCACUUGGGAAAGUGCACAGAUUCAGAGGCAAAACAAGAUAACCAGGCUUCUUAUACCCAUAAGACCAAUGCAUCUUUAAAAAAGG
rnacentral:lncRNA from 1 species